GCCUUCGUGGUGUAGUGGUUCUGCACGCUGGACCGUUAUUCCAGAGGUCCGUAGUUCGAUUCCUGGCGAAGACG
rnacentral:tRNA from 1 species